rnacentral:rRNA from 1 species
ACGAACGCUGGCGGCGUGCCUAAUACAUGCAAGUAGAACGCUGAAGAGAGGAGCUUGCUCUUCUUGGAUGAGUUGCGAACGGGUGAGUAACGCGUAGGUAACCUGCCUGGUAGCGGGGGAUAACUAUUGGAAACGAUAGCUAAUACCGCAUAAAAUGGAUUAUCGCAUGAUAAUCCAUUGAAAGGUGCAAAUGCAUCACUACCAGAUGGACCUGCGUUGUAUUAGCUAGUUGGUGGGGUAACGGCUCACCAAGGCGACGAUACAUAGCCGACCUGAGAGGGUGAUCGGCCACACUGGGACUGAGACACGGCCCAGACUCCUACGGGAGGCAGCAGUAGGGAAUCUUCGGCAAUGGACGGAAGUCUGACCGAGCAACGCCGCGUGAGUGAAGAAGGUUUUCGGAUCGUAAAGCUCUGUUGUAAGAGAAGAACGAGUGUGAGAGUGGAAAGUUCACACUGUGACGGUAUCUUACCAGAAAGGGACGGCUAACUACGUG